rnacentral:rRNA from 1 species
CUGUAAGCCUGUGAAGGUGGCCUGUGAGGGUUGCUGGAGGUAUCAGAAGUGCGAAUGCUGACAUAAGUAACGAUAAAGCGGGUGAAAAGCCCGCUCGCCGGAAGACCAAGGGUUCCUGUCCAACGUUAAUCGGGGCAGGGUGAGUCGACCCCUAAGGCGAGGCCGAAAGGCGUAGUCGAUGGGAAACGGGUUAAUAUUCCCGUACUUGGUGUUACUGCGAAGGGGGGACGGAGAAGGCUAUGUUGGCCGGGCGACGGUUGUCCCGGUUUAAGCGUGUAGGUGUGUGUUCCAGGUAAAUCCGGUUCACUUUAACACUGAGGCGUGACGACGAGGCACUACGGUGCUGAAGCAACAAAUGCCCUGCUUCCAGGAAAAGCCUCUAAGCAUCAGGUAACAUCAAAUCGUACCCCAAACCGACACAGGUGGUCAGGUAGAGAAUACCAAGGCGCUUGAGAGAACUCGGGUGAAGGAACUAGGCAAAAUGGUGCCGUAACU